rnacentral:rRNA from 1 species
AUGACACCGGAGAUGGCGCAGGGCGGGUGCUCCGCGCUCGAGGACGCGGUGGUGCUCGCCCGCGCCUUGUCGCACGCCGCCACGCCCUCCGAGGGCCUGGCCGCAUACGUGGCGAAGCGGCGUGGCAGGGCGACAUGGCUGGUCGCCGUGGCCUACGUGUCGGGCUGGGUACAGCAGGGUGGGACCAACGUCCAUGCUGCCGUUGGGUGGGUCGUCAGGUUGUUUCGGGACUGGAUCUUUUUCCGGUUCGUCUUCCCUAGGCUCGCCGACACCAUGUGGUACAAUUGCGGUGAACUUGUGCCGUGCAAGAACCACACCGAGUGA